CGGGUAAUUAGGCUACAGUAAUCCCACGCUAAUCAUGCCAUGACACCUCGGUUACUGUUGCUGUCCUCGCAAUAAUUUGAAACCGUUCAAAUUUCAAAUUCAAAUAAUAAGUGAAAUUCUAAACUUCUCAAACAUGAAAACUAAAAUGAUCAUCAUGUGGCAAAUAAUCCCUAACUUAUUUUGGGUGUUGGAACCAACCUUUUUCAAAAUGUUUAAGUGCCUAAACUAAAUAAAAACAGGGGCUAAAACAAUUAUUAAAUACUUUUGAAUAAUAAACAAAUGUAAAACUAAUUUAUUUAGUGCCAAAUUAAUUAUGACAGUAGCCUAACUAAUAAUGCUAAUUUAGGGACUGAGUUGAUAUAUUAUAAAACUGCAUAUAAAUAAAACUAAAAGAAACAGAAAAAUAGAUAAACAGAAAUAAACAGAAAACAAAAGGAAAAGGAGAAAACCCUCCCCCCCCGCGCUGGGCCUUUUGGCCCAGCUGGCCGUCCACACUACCCCGGCCGCCUGAAUGGGCCGGCCCACCCCGUCGCCUUAACCCCCCCACUCCCCAAGUCCAACACCACCGACACCCACUCCCUCCCCCCACGAAAAUAUCUCCUCUCUCCNNNNNNNNNNNNNNNNNNNNNNNNNNNNNNNNNNNNNNNNNNNNNNNNNNNNNNNNNNNNNNNNNNNNNNNNNNNNNNNNNNNNNNNNNNNNNNNNNNNNNNNNNNNNNNNNNNNNNNNNNNNNNNNNNNNNNNNNNNNNNNNNNNNNNNNNNNNNNNNNNNNNNNNNNNNNNNNNNNNNNNNNNNNNNNNNNNNNNNNNNNNNNNNNNNNNNNNNNNNNNNNNNNNNNNNNNNNNNNNNNNNNNNNNNNNNNNNNNNNNNNNNNNNNNNNNNNNNNNNNNNNNNNNNNNNNNNNNNNNNNNNNNNNNNNNNNNNNNNNNNNNNNNNNGUCGACAGUGCCCGCCGCGCCCCGACCGCCCGCCGCAGCCGCCGGCGCCCCGUCGCCCGUGCACACCCACGCCAUUGCCAUCGCGCCCGCAGCUCCACUGCUCCGGCUCGGCUGCUUCGUGCGCGCCCACAGUGCCCGCCGCGCGCUCCUCCUCUGCCCACCGCGUGCACCACCGCGGCCAGCGCCCUGCUAGGGCCCCGGUCAUCUCCCGAGUCCGCCCCGACGGGUACCCCGCCCGUGCCCGUUACGCCCAAACCCGCAAAGACCCCCCUGCCAAUGACAGAGGGGGCCCACGCCCUAGAACGUUAAAGAGAAGGUUAAAAAAAUGAAUAAUAAGUAAAUUAAUUAAUUAGUUAAUUAACUUAAUUAAUCUUAAUUAGUUAAUUAAAGAAUUAAUUAAACUAAUUAAACUGGAUCAGAUUAACAUAAUCAAUUAACUAAACCCUAGUUAACCUAACAGUGUAUGACAGGUGGGUCCCACCCAGUCAACACCUGUUGACUGGUGACGUCAGCAUGACAUCAUGCUAAUGUCAUAAAUCCAAAUUUUGAAUUAAAUCAAAUAAUUAAUUAAAUUCCAGAAAUUAAUAAAAUCUUUAGAAAAUCAUAUCUUUUAAUCCGUAACUCGGAUGAAAAAGUUUUAUACAUGAAAGUUGCUCAGAACGACGAGACGUAUUCGGAUACGCAACCCGUUUAUCCACCACACAUCCCUAGCAUAGCGAACACGCAACUUUCCCCCUCCGGUUCACCGGUCCGAAAGCGCGAAACACCGGGGGUACUUUCCCGGAUGUCAUCCCCCUUCACCGGUAUCACCUACUACCGCGUUAGGGCACCUCUAACACCGUUACUUGUCAUAUCAUGCAUCACUAUGCAUAUGCUUGCAUUAUAUUUAUUGUUUCUUCCCCCUCUUCUCUCGCUAGACACCGAGUCCGACGCCGCUGCUACCCAGUACGACUACGGUGUUGACGACCCCUCUCUCUUGCCAGAGCAACCAUGCAAGCCCCCCCUUGAUCACCAGAUAUCGCCUACUCUCCUCUAUACUGCUUGCAUUAGAGUAGUGUAGCAUGUUACUGCUUUCAUUAUUCCUAUCCUGAUGCAUAGCCUGUCCUUGUUACUACUGUUGAUACCUUUACCUGCAAUCCUACUUGCUUAGUAUAGGAUGCUAGUAUUUCCAUCUGUGGCCCUACCUUCUUGUCCGUCUGCUGUGCUAUACUAUCGGGCCGUGAUCACUCGGGAGGUGAUCGCGGGUUUAUACUAUGUACUUUAUACUUGAUACAUGUGGUGAUUAAAGACGGGUCGGCUCGUAGGAGCACCCGCGAGUGGAACUUUGAGGCGGAGCGACAGGGCAGGUUCAUACCACCUAGGAGAGAGGUGGGCCUGGCCCUGGUCGGCGUUCGCGGAUACUUAACACGCUUAACGAGAUCUAGGUAUUUGAUCUGAGUCUGGCCUUUUGGUCUAUACGCACUAACCAUCUACGCAGGAGUAGUUAUGGGUAUCCCGACGUCGUGGUAUCAGCCGAAGCCUUCAUGACAUCAGCGACUGAGUGGCGCGCGCCGGAUUGGAACGUAAGCCUGCUCUUGUAUUAAGAGGGCUAGUUCUGCUUCCGGCCGCGUUCGCAACGUGCAGGUGUGCUAAGGGCGAUGGGCCCAGACCCCUGUGCGCUUAGGUUUAGACCGGCGUGCUGACCUCUCUGUUGUGCCUAGGUGGGGCUGCGACGUGUUGAUCUUUCGCGGCCGGGCAUGACCCCGAAAAGUGUGUCCGGCCAAAUGGGAUCAAGCAUGUUGGGGAAUGUGGUGCACCCCUGCAGGGAAGUUAAUCUAUUCGAAUAGCUGUGAUCUUCGGUAACAGGACGACUUGGAGUUGUACCUUGACCUUAUGACAACUAGAACCGGAUACUUAAUAAAACACACCCUUCCAAGUGCCAGAUACAAUCGGUGAUCGCUCUCUCACAGGGCGACGAGGGGAGGAUCAUCGGUUAGGAUUAUGCUAUGCGAUGCUACUUGGAGGACUUCAGUCUAAUCUCUUCUACAUGCUGCAAGACGGAGGUUGCCAGAAGCGUAGUCUUCGAAAGGACUAGCUAUCCCCCCUUAUUCCGGCUUUCUGCAGUUCAGUCCACAUAUGAUACCAUUAUUCCAUUUGAUACCAAUGCAUACAUUGUAGUAUAGCUCCUUGCUUGCGAGUACUUUGGAUGAGUACUCACGGUUGCUUUCUCCCUCCUUUCCCCCUAUCGCUUCUACCUGGUUGUCGCAACCAGAUGUUGGAGUCCAGGAGACAGACGCCACCUUCGACGACGACUCCUACUACACCGGAGGUGCCUACUACUACGUGAUGCCCACUGACGACGACCAGGAGUAGUUAGGAGGAUCCCAGGCAGGAGGCCUGCGCCUCUUUCGAUCUGUAUCCCAGUUUGUGCUAGCCUUCUUAAGGCAAACUUGUUUAACUUCUCUCUGUACUCAGAUAUUGUUGCUUCCGCUGACUCGUCUAUGAUCGAGCUCUUGUAUUCGAGCCCUCGAGGCCCCUGGCUUGUAAUAUGAUGCUUGUAUGACUUAUUUUAUUUGUAGAGUUGUGUUGUGAUAUCUUCCCGUGAGUCCCUGAUCUUGAUCAUACACGUUUGCGUGUAUGAUUAGUGUACAGUCCAAUCGGGGGCGUCACAAGUUGGUAUCAGAGCCAGCUGCCUGUAGGAAUCCCCCUUCCAUACUCCUUGGCCGAAGUCGAGUCUAGACCUUGCAAAACUUUUACUAACAUGGCUGUGCGGCCCAUGGGCCCACAUCGCCAUUGGGUGGUAUUAGGAUCUUUUACUUCUCGAUCUUUACUCUGGGGUUCUGAACUCUCUUCUAUUCGGGUUAAACGAUUUUUACUAAAAUCUAACUUUAGGUUCUCGAAAAUAAUUUCUCCCGGAGAGCCCCUUCAGUCCAGAUGAUCGCUGGCUGCACUAGAAGAUUUCAAAGAUACUCUUUGAUAUUCUCUCAAGACCUUGUGCCCGUUGCUUUUGCAAUUCCCUUGCACCGAAAUAUCCCUAUGGAUAAAUACUUACACCUGUCGUUCUUACUUUUAUUCCCAGUUGAUCUUGUUAUUACAAGAUAACCCGAAAUUCUCUAUAAUGUUUCGAGUAUACUUUGUUCCCACUGCCUUGCAGUUCUUGCCACAUGAAUACCCCCUACGGAUAAUUCCUCACACUUACCAGAUAUCCGUUCUUUCCCCGUUGUUUAUGUGUUUCCCUAAGGUCUUCGAAAUAAUAUUCGAUCUUCCGAAAAUCCUUAGCAGCUUAUUGCUCUUGAAAUUCUUGCUUGCUUGCAUUAUGGUUAAGCCCAUAAGUAUAGUAAUCUUAUUGGCAGCCUUUGUCUCUACCAUUUUGAGUCCAUUGAUUCAAAAAUAUUGCGAAUGCUCGCAAUCCUCAAUCGGAUCCUAGAAUUCAUCCUUUCGGCUCAAACGUCAUUUUAAACAUGAGCUGGAUCUCGACCAAUCAGAUUGCCAUCGAUUGUACCCCUAAGUCUAUUCAACUUGUCCGUCCUUGAUCAGAGCGUUUGCUCCUGAUCCCUUGAUUUGAAAAUCAUAAAUCCUUUUUUAUUUAAACAUUGAAUUAUUCAGAUGUUCUGUAAAACGAUGCAUUUGCAUUCUUUCUUCCUCUGAUUGGGUAUCGAUACUCACAUCAGCUCCAUUGUGGAUCACCAUAUCCACUGUUGGAUUUUUAUCCGACAAUGUCCUUCAUAAUUAAUCACCUUGUGAGUUCUUUCUCCGAUACAUAAUGCCUUUGGUAAUUUGUAUCCUCUCCUUUGCCAACCAUGCUCUGCUUUCGAGCUGGUAAUAUUUACUCUCAAAGCUUGUGGUAUAUGUUUCCACGAUACCCUGACAGGUUGAACCUAUGCCUUCCUUAAUUUGUGUGACCUCGAAAGUUAUGCGGGUUAUACCCUGCUGACGCUUCGUCAGAUAACUUUUCAGCCCUACAACUUCAAAAAAAGGGGAGGUAAAUGUAAGGUUAUGCAUUGAAGAAGUGGGAGUCGACCUUGAACUUUGUGUUCAUGCCCAUGGACACGAUGUAGAUCUUAUCAUUAAAGCUUCUCUUAAAUUAAUUACUCCCUUGGUAUAAGUUCAGCUUAUAUCUAGGAUCUGGCCUUUGGCAAUCGUGGUUCCGACCAUGAUCUCCUUUAAAUACCAUUUCUCGUGCAAGUUUAAGCACCUGUCUUCUAUAGAGCAAUACCCCAGUCCAACCUCUACUUUGAUCUGUCGUCGAGUAUUACCCCCUGGUACCUCGAGAUUGUCAUGGAACUGCAUAGCUUCUUAUGAGUUCUUCAACAAGUGCUACAUUCUCACUGACUCCAAAAUUUUCACGGGCUCAGAGUUAUUAAACACUCAAAGACACCGAUAAUUGACUGAAGUCUGCACCGCGAUUAAACAAAUCGUGGUAACCUUCAUGACUUAUGAAUUUGAACUCGAUCACGUCAUUCCUAGCCUACUUGGCUAUAUCCUGGUCAUGCCGAUUUUAACUGUGCUACCUGGUCCUUCCUAGAGCAAAAAUUUUGAGGAGAGCUAAUCUUACGCCGAUCUUCCUCGUCAUAACAAUUGUCCUUGAAUGACAAGCUUGAUUUCAAGUUUGUGUCGUACCUAUGGUUUCAAUAACUUCUCGCUUCAUCAUUCUGUGGACUUGAUGUCAUCGCCGAUCGGUUACAUCUUCUUGAAACCUCUCGACAAAUGUGUCGUGAUCAUCAUCAACAUUUUGACCCCUUCCAGGAUAUCAAUUGAAUUCAUGAUGAGAAGUACCAUCCUCGCCCCUCAAUGGUUUGUGUUAUCACCGACCACUUUAUUGCCUUCCGUUCAACACAAACUUUUUGUGUUUUGUGUUAUACCUUGAGAUCCUUGCUAUUCAACAUUUGUUCUUCUUUACCUUGGAUUGUUACCACCUUCUAUGUCAAGAAUGUCGUGGUAAUUUUACCACCUCUUGAUAAUUCUUGAUAUAGUAAUAUCUCUCGCCUUUUGCGUUCAUUUCUUGGUCUCCGUGUUGUUUCUAACCGUAAUACUAACAAAUGGUCUGUGAUGUGUAAAAUCUAAACUUCUAGCAACCCUAUUGCUUUGAAGUUAUUGGUCUACAGUUUCAUUCUAAGUCUAUUGCUUAUUGAAUCAUCAUUCGAACAUUGAUCGUGCUACCUAGUCUAGAUUCCUGGGUGCAUCCUUCUAUCAUUGUUCAGUUGUGUAUGUUUCCCUCGAGCAUACAUCAUUAUUUCAUUUGAUCCGACAAAUGAUAUUUCCUUGUUCACAUAAUUGUGGAAAUCAAUCCUUUGGAAAUCUCGAUGAUUUGUUGCUGAGCCUAUCAGCCACCUCCUCAUCCUCUCCUUGGUUUACUGUUGAACUCUUGUGUCGGAACUCGCUCCCAUAGUUCAAUUCCCGAGAAUCUUACAAUGUCAUCUCGACAAUUUGUGUUGCACCUUUCUUCUCAGGUAUCCUAAGUCUGAGUUAUCCUGACACCCAUCACAUUUGAAUCUCGGUCAAAUAUGAUGGUUGGAACAUAUUUCCAAGAGUUAUAACAUUGGUCCUUAUGUGACCCAGUAAGGUGAUGUCGUGCCUAGCACACCUGCCCCGAGGCCCUAUUGUUAUAAUUUCCUUUUUGGCAAGGUUAGUCAUUCUUCCGUGAGGAAAUCGUAAGACUUAUUCUAUAAGUUGUUCCUAAUGGAUCCAAUGUGUUUCCAAAGUCUGAUCUUCACCUGAUGACCGUGUCAAUGCUAUCUCGUAGCAUGUCUAUGAGACUACGAUUCUCAGCAAGAACAUUUGAAGCCCAAUGCUAAAUGUUUCCUGCUCAGUUAUCCAAACACCGCUGUAUGUGUAAUGUCAUGAAAUUUUUCUCCCCUUACCUAAAGAGUUUUCUACAUUAUAUCCUGUCAUGGGUAAUAUGUUCUGCUUGUCCUUGGGAAGAAUAUACCCUUGAAAUAUGUGUUUAAUCACUUUUCCUUUCCAUUGGUUUGUUUAAACCUUCUUGUGAUCUAUACGGUAUAAGCAGUUGUACCACUCUGUUAGAAAGACCCUGCUACUUUUGUUGAUGGCAUUCCGGUAACCACCGAUGGACGAGAAUCUUGCCUAUUGGUCCGCCUCGUUCAACGAGCAGGAAAAUGGUUCUCUUUGUCCCUCGCCCUUAGUAUUGAUGUUGUUGCUGACAUAAAUGAUAGGCUAUCCUCUGACAUACCUUGCUUACAUGAUCGUGCAAGACGUCACCGCCCUUCCUAGUUUUAACCCACAUGGUGGGCCCAUAACCCACAGUUUCUAGGAUCAAAACCUGACUCUCCUGUACACCCUGUUGUCAAAGUUAUUCCUCGUGCUUGACUUUGUAUGUAAUUCACGGGCCACCUACCUGUUGAUCUAUUCUGGUAUAAGACGCAAUACUUAUUCCCGAUUGCUUUGAACCGCUUUCACGCCCUGUAACAGUCAUCGAACGAUUGUCUAUCCGCUUGAAACUUCUUAUUGUACCGUCUUACUUUGCUCUCGAUGUGUUUCAUUUGUUCAACUCGAGAGAUAGUCAUGUGUUCAUUCAUGGGAUAACCCUAGAUGAUUACCCCUUAUAGCAUCCUAUCGUUAUCAACCUUCCCCUUACCUAUUCGUAAGUACGAUGGAGUUCCCGAAGAAAGGAUGCCGACUUCCUCAUGAUUACCCGAAGCAGAGAAAUGAAGCAUCAAUGUAAUGGAUCAACCACUUCGAGAAGAACAACCAAGACCAAGAACACUCCCUAGAAUUUCGUAACCCGAACCUUCCCCCUUUACUUCCCUCUUAAAUCUCGGGACGAGAUUUCUUGUAGUGGAGGAGAAUUGUGACGCCCGGGUAAUUAGGCUACAGUAAUCACACGCUAAUCGUGCCAUGACACCUCGGUUACUGUUGCUGUCCUCGCAAUAAUUUGAAACCGUUCAAAUUUCAAAUUCAAAUAAUAAGUGAAAUUCUAAACUUCUCAAACAUGAAAACUAAAAUGAUCAUCAUGUGGCAAAUAAUCCCUAACUUGUUUUGGGUGUUGGAACCAACCUUUUUCAAAAUGUUUAAGUGCCUAAACUAAAUAAAAACAGGGGCUAAAACAAUUAUUAAAUACUUUUGAAUAAUAAACAAAUGUAAAACUAAUUUAUUUAGUGCCAAAUUAAUUAUGACAGUAGCCUAACUAAUAAUGCUAAUUUAGGG
rnacentral:lncRNA from 1 species